GAAAUAAAGGCGUCAAAUUAAUAUGAGGAUUUGAGAUAAAAUAAGAGAAUCAGUGCAGACAGGUAAGCGCUUUAUAAAAAAUCGUUUCAUAACAGUUGUCUAAUUAAAAAUGAGGCGGACAAUACCAUGCACAUUAUUUGUUUACAGACAACUCAUGUAUCAUGCAAAAAGUAUUAUAACCGUUCUUUUUAAACUUGUCAUUCACAGCGAUUAUAUAAAAUCAAUUGAGGCACUUUAUAGAGUCCGCCGCUGUAUAUAUGUAGUGACAUGGUAUUUUGUUUUAAAUACUAAAGCUUGGCAAAAUCUUUAGGAAUUUGUGGCCCUAAAAGCUCUUCAACUUCGUUCUUUAUUUGGCCUUUAACAUUUUCUUAUUCGAGCGUCACUGAUGAGUCUUUUAUAGACGAAACGCGCGUCUGGCGCAAAUGUAAAAUUUCAGUCCUGAUAUCUAUGAUGAGUUUAUCUUUUAAAUUAGUUUUUAACAAUAUGUAACAGAGUCAUUAUAUUUUAUGGUGGUCUUAAUGUAAACAUACUUUAUUAAUUAAAUUCAGGUAAAGUAAUGUACACAAAUAGGCAUUUACAUAAUAAUACAAGUGAAAUAACUAAUAGGAUCCAGAAACAAGCUGUUAGCUUAUAUUAAUCCGUUUCCUAAUAAGAACAUUUCAUAUUGUAACACUCAAGGAGUAAAAUGUUAAAAAAAAUAGCAAUGUUACACUAGAUGGAAAGAAGAAAAAACCAUAUAAGUUUGUGACACACAAGAAAGAAGAAAAAAUAUACAUCGGAAAUUCAAUAAUAAAGUGUAAGUUUCUGUACGGACACAAUUAUUUAAGAUAUAAGUAUUACUUGUUGAACAAGAUGUGUGCUAUCAUAUGACAAAUCUUUUGCUACUGAGUAUAAAUGUUUGACUGCCAAGAACAUUUCAAUGUUUUGUUCGUAGCUGAAAUCCGUUGAACCGUGUAGCAAGAUUUCUUCCUACAAAAAAUGUAUUAUAUUGAUAUUAUAAAAAUGCUGUUCACUCAUAAUGUGAAAACGGGGGCAGUGCAACAAGUAGUGUGCGGUCGUUUCUAUAGCAUCACAUAAACAAAGUGGCGAAGCCACUAUAUAUUUAACAAAAAGAUGAUGAUUUAGAGAACUGCAUUGCAUACGACGUCUUGAGUGAUAAAUUUGACCUAAUCGCUUACCAAUGUAAAAAUAAUUUGGAGGUUUAAUCGCCUGAGACUGGACACAAUUCCUGAAUGCCCCCACCGAAGUACUGGUCUUAGCAUUCUCAGGGAGGAGAUUCCAUGAACGUACAUUUGCCGGUAAAACAUAAUUUGAAUACAGGGCUGUUCUUGUUCGAACAGGGGUGGGGGGUUAGGGACGAGUUUCUCGUAUUAUGAUUAUGUAUGGUUGCAUGGGAUUCUGGAACUAAGGUUGAUAAAUAUUCCGGAGUAAUAUUAUUUUUCAUCUUGUAAAAAUAAAUUAACCUGUGGGCCUCCCUUCGAUCUUUAAGCUUUUCACAACCCGUUUCAAUUACAAUCUCUCUCUCUGGGGACACCAACCUAGUACCCUAAGUUACGAUCCUGGCGGCCUCUGUUUGUACUUUUUCAAUCUUAUCAAUCAAAAGAUGUGUGUUGUUGCCCCAGAUGACACCAGCAUAUUAUAAUAAUGGUCUUAUAUAUGUUAGGUAUAUUGUCUCGAGUGUUUAUCUGUCAAGGAUGAAUUUAAAUUUCCGUAGAACAUUCAGUCGUAUGUAUGCCUUUUCGGUUAUAACAUCAAUAUGUUAAUGCCAAGUGCCAUCAUUUGAAAUAUGUAAUCCAAGGUGUUUAUUUUGAUACCUCAGUUACAGUUACGUUGUCCAUGUUAUGGUAGUCUUGACUAAGCAUAUAUAUACUCGAUGUUGACCAACUAAAAGUUAACCAGAUGUUUACCUGUAAAUGAGAUGUAGCACAGUCCAUAGUUGUUUUGUCUGUCAUCAAUACGAAAUAAUAUCAUGCUUCGAAAUAGUAAACCAAACUGUAUUUCGGAUCCUGUUUUCUAUACAAAAAAUUGAAAACAACACGUUUAAUAAUUUCAUGCGUCCGAAGUGCUUUUCUGGGUUUACCUUCAUCAGGAACGGUCAAAGCCAAACAUUUGAAAUCCGAGGAUCUAUAAGUACCGAAAAGCCUCAAGACUGUGAAAGAAUAAAAUAAACAUUUUAGCGUUCCGAAAGCACGUACAAAGUUUUUAUAAAAAGUUAAAUGCAAGCUCUUAGACUGGAUUAUAUUUUAGAAAGUUAUCCACACAGCUAUUGGGGAAAAUAACCACAAUAUGUUUCUUCCAAUGAUCGCAAUUGUUUUUCCUCGAUAAACUUUAUACGUCUAUGAUUUGCUUUUAUAUCUUAAAAAAAACCCUAUCAGAUUUGUUUUAGUCUGAAAAGAUAAUUGUUCCUUCUAGUUAUAACAAGUUAAUUACGACUGAUGAUAUAAAGUUCAAGAAAUUAUUUCUUAUGAUAAUAUAAAGUUCAAGAUUGUAUGACUACUGCUAAUAUAAAGUUCAAGAUGUUACCCGGUAUAGUUGAAGUGAUAUAUCUGAUACGCAAUCAUGUGAAUUUUUUUCAUAUCAAUUUUUUUUUCCAUAUCGUUCUAUUAGUUUUUAUUCGAACCAUACUUUAUGUCAAUUUCUCUAAUAGAGCAAAUGAAAUCUUACUCUUCUUUUUUAAUAUCUGAGUGGUAAACAAAUUAGAAUAAAUUUUCCGUUUUGAUUAUUAAUAAGUAUGAAUCAGAUUUUUGAUUUACCAUACUUUAAUAAUUACAUUAGAUGUAUGUUUCAUUAUAAUACGUUAUUCUGAUUGGCCAACUGCACAUCUCGUGCUAUUCCUGAAACAAUUGUAUUAGACAAUAACAUUUAUCAUUCAUGAUGACACGAGGUCCCACAAUAAAGUGCACAGGUAAAUUAAAUGAAAACGUGAUAAAAAAACGUGUUUCAUGAUUCUAGCUUAAAAAAAUUUAAUAUAAGUAUUGAAUGCUUCUUUUUGUAACUUUAUAGGGUUGUAAAAGCGUUGACCGUGCGCACAUUUUUAGUAUAAGCGCUUCACACAAAAUGUACUUCGGUCAACGCUUUUACACCCCAAUAAAUUUACAAAAAGCAGCAUUCAAUUCUUAAAUAUAAUGCAACCAAACGGCACAUUUUCUUUUAGAAAGAUUAUACAUACAUGGGUUGUAGAAUAAACAGUAUUGAGACAGCAAUCUUACAACAUAUAAACCUCAAAAGACACCAGCAGAUCAAAAUAUGGUCCUCAUUAAUAGACAGGUGAGAAGUCAGUAUCUCACACUGUAAUUCUCACCGAGUCAGAGAAAUGUGUAUCAGUUUAUUAGUAAUACAUGUACUUUGACCUCUAACGGUUUACUUUAUAAAUUGUGACUUGGAUCAUGGAGAGUUGUAUCGUUGGCACUCAUACCACAUCUUCUUAUGUCUACAUUGUAACUAUGCUUCUGACUUGAAACAAUACAAUCAAAAUAACACAUUAUAGUUAAUACUUUUUUAAUUUGUUGUGUCUUAAACGCUUCUAUUAACUUUGGAAUGUUGAAGGUUUUAACUAUUGUGUUCUAUUAUGAUUGUUUCCCCAAUCCUUAAUUAAUGAAUAUCAUUAUAUUAACAGUCCAGAUUAACAGCGUACGCCUUAUUCAUGUCAUGAUCUUUGAAGGCGUGUACAUGAUAGUUAGUGCAUCUGAUAUAUUGUUAUGGAGCUAUACACUUGCACCUUAGCAGUUAGGUAUGUUGCUAAAGAAGUUUCAUAUAUAGGACUAUUAUCUUAAUAUAAUACUAAGAUGGAAAACACGUCACAAGAUGACGUAUUUUAUGUCCUGUAAUGUCAUUCUAUUCAUAAAUUAGAAAUGAAUUUAUGAAUUUAUAAACUUAAUGUGGUACCCAACAAUUUCACUAAAAUUAAUUUGGCUCGUUUAAUUUUCAUAAAAUUUUGACACAGUAUUUACUUUGACCAUUUAACAAAAAUAUAAAAAAUUCAAAAAAUUUGAACAAACCGUUUAAUCAGAAAAAUUACACUGGUUAUAUAGCAGUUUGACAAACACUUAUCAUUUGAUGCUUAAAUUUUCUUAACAACACAACGUCAUAAAACGUUCUGCUGAUUUUACAAGUUAUCUCCCUGUAGUGUUAGGUACCACUUAAUGCCAAACAUUUGUAAGGUACAGAAUUAUGAAUACCGAAACAUGUGAAAAGACAUAAAAUAAUAUCUUUAUCAAUCUAAGGUCCACUUUCUGGUGCCAUGUCUUGAAUAUGACAGUUGUUUUUCACUACCUACUUUUUGAAUUUACAUUGGUGUUCGGUAAUUUAACCUUUGGAAUAAAAAAAGGCUAGAAGUGUCGUUUAUAGAGGGAAGGAAGACACAAAAGACGUCCAAAGUUGGCUAUUGAAAAGAAUCGAUGUACGCAAAUAUUUAGUUUUGUGGAGCAGCAAGGACACACUACAAGACGCAUGUCGGGAGAAGUUGACAAAAAGAAAUUGAAUCUUUCCAACGAAGAAUGAAAGAUUAAAGCCGAUGAUGAGUUAGAAAACUGUUUUUGCUGAAAAAGCUCUGUCCAAGG
rnacentral:lncRNA from 1 species